CUGUGAAAUGGCCACCAAGACGGACGCAUCAGCAAUCCCGUGAGAUGAGAGAGAUGAGACGUCUAUGAUGUCUUAGAAGCAACAUCUGAAUCACUCAGGAUGUUCCAAAAGAAAGAUGGCCACAAAGAAGAGCAAGGGAAUAGACCGUGUGGCCAGGUGCUUGAGCCUUUGUCUAUUUCUCUGUAUUUUCCUACCCCCACCCCCCAGUACUAGAGUGUGCAGCAGCAGCAUACUGAACGUUAUCUUUGAUUACCUUUGAGCCAUACUGCAGAGCUAGAAUCAAGAAGGAGCCAUCUUGCUUUAGCAGUUUCCAUGUCCUCAGUCAACACCCUGGAUUUCCAGUCAAGGGUUCCUGCAGCUGAUCUGUGGCUGACUUGGGUUCAAGACUGCUUUGCCUAGAAUGGACAUUGCCUGGCAGACUCAGUGAACCCCACCCUGCUUCCAUCAAGACCCUGGGGCUCCCAGUCCCCGAGGUGGAAGAGCUCCUUGUUUGCUGGAUGCUGAAAGACAAGGCUGGUCUAGAUGGAUAGUGUUGCGCUGUCAGUGGAAGCAAGCGGGAGUUUCUCAGUGCUGCGCGUUCUUUUGCACAGAGGAUGUAGCAAUGAGAAAAGCUACUCUGUUUAAAUAUGCAUGGAUGUGAGGGAAGGCCAAUGCACAGCUCAAACAUACCAGGUAUAGAGUUGGCCAAGAUCCACAACUCUAAGGUGGUUUUUCUGCUCUUGCCUCUUGCAGUGCUGGUAAUGGAGCCCCAGGUACUGUCCCUAAUCUGUGUAAGAUGUGACUUAUACCUCUGUUCCAGAUAAAUUUGAUGUAUG
rnacentral:lncRNA from 1 species